rnacentral:lncRNA from 1 species
GAAGCUUAUCUAGAUGAGGAAGCAGGCUCAGCAGGAAGUAAUCGUGCUGUUCUAUCAUGCUACCGACUUGGUGUCAAGACACUGCUCAGCAGUCAACCAUGGAGUUGGACAACUUAGGCUCCGAAGUUGUGACUCUCUCCGGAGGGCCUGGUGCUGGGAGGGUUUCUCUUCAACUUGCAGCUGCUUUCCCAGUCCCAUCUCCAAUCCUGGCGUCAUCAGUGGUGAGGCUGCCCUGUUUCCACCGCAGUCUCCCACAGUCACACCCAUGGGAGCUGAGUACCACCCUUGGACCAAAAGCUGCAAACCCACAAUUCCUAGCCAUUCCAGCUACAGGUUUUCAAAACCCCUUACAGACACAUGUUUUAAUGUACUUUUUAAUGGCUUGCAAUAUCUUUCUAUAGAUUUGUAACCCAAUAUUUGACAGCUGCCAUCGGUAACUAUUUUACUCUGUCCUUAGCUCUAUUCUUUUUCGAGCUACCGUUUAUCAUGGCUAAUACAUGCCGAAAUAUGCACUAAAAAGUUACAUGAGAUAAGCUUACCUAGUAUAACAAUCCCAUUAGAUUUACGUUAAAACCAAGAUCAAACAGGUCAACUAACUCAUCCAAGGUCACUUAACUACUAAGUCUAGGAUUAGGAAUUAAACCCAGAUCUCUAAGACUCUAGCAUUAUUUGGGGAUCCAUUGUUUAUAAUUAAAUAAUGAUGAUUGUUUAAUGCCCUCUUACUGUGUAUCUGGUACGAUAUCAAGAUUCACUAAUUCUAAUUAAUACAUUCAUUCCUCACCAUAAGCCUAUGAAACUGGUAUUACUGCCAGCCCAUUUUACAGAUGAGAAAAUUCAGCCACGGUUUAGGUUGUCUGAAGUGACACUGGUAUCACAUCAACAGUAAUAUCAACAGUUCUGAUUUAAAUGUAGGUCAACUUGCUCUAGACUCAGGAACAAAUUAAACUUUCUAGAAUUGUAACAAGAUAAAGUGUACAUACCUAUAAAGAUAAUUGGCUAUAACUUCCUAAACUGUGAACUGUCAUAAAAAUUACAUCAAAAUAACAACAACAAAAAAAAAGACAAAAAAAAAAAAAAAAGGAGUUCCCGUCGUGGUGCAGAGGUUAACGAAUCCGACUAGGAACCAUGAGGGUGCGGGUUCGGUCCCUGCCCUUGCUCGGUGGGUUAACGAUCCGGCGUUGCCGUGAGCUGUGGUCUAGGUUGCAGACGCGGCUCGGAUCCCGAGUUGCUGUGACUCUGGCGUAGGCCAGCGACUACAGCUGCGAUUCAACCCCUAGCCUGGGAACCUCCAUAUGCCGCGGGAGCGGCCCAAGAAAUAGCAACAACAACAAAAAGACAAAAAAAAAAAAAAAAAAAAAUUACAUCUGCCCUGCCUCAUUCAGCAGCUGGAAUUAAAACAGAGAGUCUUAUAAAAUAAUAGAAUGUCGAGACUUAGUCAUAUACUGACAUUAAUGUCAAUUAAUAGGAUUUUCAAAACAAUAAUUCUUUCAUUCAAAUAAAUAGACCUAAAAAC